rnacentral:rRNA from 1 species
GAUGAACGCUAGCUACAGGCUUAACACAUGCAAGUCGAGGGACCGGCGCAUGGGUGAGUAACACGUAUCCAACCUGCCCUUUACUCGGGGAUAGCCUUUCGAAAGCAAGAUUAAUAUCCGAUAUAAAGGAUGGGGGUGCGUUCCAUUAGGUUGUUGGUGAGGUAACGGCACACCAAGCUUUCGAUGGAUAGGGGUUCUGAGAGGAAGGUCCCCCGCAUUGGAGCUGAGGCACGGUCCAAACUCGUACGGGAGGGAGCAGUGAGGAAUAUUGUUCGAUGGGCGUUAGCCUGAACCAGCCGAGUAGCGUGAAGGAUGAAGGCUUAUGGGUCGUAAACUUCUGUUAUGUAAGAAUAUGUAUUAUAUGAAUAAGGAUCGGCUAACUCCGUGCCAGCAGCCGCGGUAAUUC